AUGGCUCAGAUGAACGCUGGCGGCAGGCCUAACACAUGCAAGUCGAACGGUAACAGGAAGCAGCUUGCUGCUUGCUGACGAGUGGCGGACGGGUGAGUAAUGUCUGGGAAACUGCCUGAUGGAGGGGGGUAACUACUGGAAACGGUAGCUAAUACCGCAUAACGUCGCAAGACCAAAGAGGGGGACCUUCGGGCCUCUUGCCAUCAGAUGUGCCCAGAUGGGAUUAGCUUGUUGGUGGGGUAACGGCUCACCAAGGCGACGAUCCCUAGCUGGUCUGAGAGGAUGACCAGCCACACUGGAACUGAGACACGGUCCAGACUCCUACGGGAGGCAGCAGUGGGGAAUAUUGCACAAUGGGCGCAAGCCUGAUGCAGCCAUGCCGCCGUGUAUGAAGAAGGCCUUCGGGUUGUAAAGUACUUUCAGCGGGGAGGAAGGUGUUGUGGUUAAUAACCACAGCAAUUGACGUUACCCGCAGAAGAAGCACCGGCUAACUCCGUGCCAGCCGCCGC
rnacentral:rRNA from 1 species